rnacentral:SRP_RNA from 1 species
AUGUCGAUCGGGCGUCCGCGCUAAGCUCGGCGUCAAUAUGGGCAUUCCAGGGGAGCCCGGAGUGGCCAGGUUGUCCAAGGAGGAACGCACCGGGCGAGGCCCGAAAGGGAGCAGCCAAAAGUUCCCACGUUGAUCAGUAGCGGGAUAGCGCUUGUGAAUAGGCGGAGCGUUGCAGCCCAGUCAAUAUCGCGGGACCCAAUCCUUU